AGGCAUCUCCAUCUCUGUCUGGGCCCCAUUUUUUCGGUGUUUGUGCUUUUGCUUUUGCCCUGCGUCCGUCCCACCGCUUUCUCCUUCGCCUUCCCCUUCGCCGUUUUCCCAAUUAACCCUUUCCUAUUUCAAUUCUGUUUCCUUUUUCGAUUUUCCCUUUCAUAAUUUUUUUAAUUAUUAUUAUUUUUUAUUCACAUUUUUAACUCGGGGUGAGAUCUGAUCCUGAUCUGAUCCCUCCCUCUGUCCUCUGCCAUUUCACUAUGAUUUCGUUUUCAGUGCAUUCAAAGCCCGUCUGAUUUCCCUCUCUUUUUUUAAUCCCGAGAGAUAAGCUUUUUAUUUUUGCUUUCACUUUGUCCAUUGGUAAGUGUUAACAGAGUGGGAGGUCCGUUGUUAGUGGAAGAUUAAGCGUGUUUUAGUUUUGGCAUAUCUGGAGGAUUGAUCCGUAGAUUGUUGUUGUUAUCUGGAUCUGAUCAGGGAUUUUGUCAUCAUUUGAAUCGAUUGUGUUGUCAAGGUUUUAUAUUUUUUGGUGAUAAAGUUUGGAUUUUUAUUUAUUCGCUAUUGGAAGGACAGUUUUGAUAUGUUUUCUCUUUAGAAGUUAAAGCUCUGAGCCAGUUAGUGAAUGACUGGGAGAGAUGAUGAUUUGAUUAAACAUAAAAAUUGGGUUUGCAUUGGAAAACGUAUUCCCAAUUUUUAACAAAAGGGGGCUGAGAUAUCUCUGGCUUGUUUAGUUUGGCUGGGGAAAGAAAAGAGGAGGGGUUUGAUUGUGGUGAUGAAUUAUUGUCAAACGUGGGGAAAGUUAUAUGUGGGCAUUGGAAAAUAAUUUAUGAGUGGUGGGCGGUAGCCAUCGCUGUUAUCACCGGAUCAUCCUUCUACCUCUUUGGGGUCUCCUGACAACAAAUACUGUCUCUAUUAGAGAUACUGGUUUUUGUCUGAAAUCUGUUGAAUCUCACCUUUCUUCUACUGCUAAGACAAGGGAUUUCUAUUCUGGGGACCUUCAUUUACAUAGUUGUCAUUGGCAUGCCCUGCAGAAGAGAGUGGACACCUGUUUUCUUCGGGUGUAAUGGAGUUGCAGAACAACAAUCGCAGUUCCAGUUCCUUUGAAAUCUCCAAAGGGUCUACCUUGAUGCAGGAAAAGCAUGGUAAGUCACAAAGGGUUCGCCACAAAAGCACGCAGUUUGAAGAUAAUCUUCUUCAUGAAGAGAAUACCAGGUUAAUUUACAUUAAUGAUCCUAGGAAAACCAAUGACAAGUAUGAGUUCACUGGGAAUGAGAUCACAACAAGCAAGUACACACUGAUUACCUUCUUGCCCAAGAAUAUUUUCAUUCAGUUCCAUCGGGUAGCCUAUUUAUAUUUUCUGGCAAUUGCUGCUCUCAACCAGCUUCCCCCUCUUGCCGUCUUUGGGAGGACAGUGUCUCUUUUCCCCCUCCUGUUUGUGCUUUGUGUGACAGCUAUUAAAGAUGGCUAUGAGGAUUGGCGAAGACACAGAUCAGACCAAAAAGAGAACAAUCGGGAAGCUCUGGUGCUUCAAGGUGAUCGGUUUCAGUUGAAAAAAUGGAAAAAAAUCCGGGCUGGUGAGGUCGUGAAAAUCCUUUCUGAUGAGACAAUUCCAUGUGACAUUGUCUUGUUGAGCACUAGCGAUCCUAGUGGGCUUGCUUACAUUCAGACAAUGAAUUUGGAUGGUGAGUCAAACUUGAAGACAAGGUAUGCUAGGCAAGAAACGGUUUCUGCAGGACCUGAAGAUCCUAUAUCAGGGCCGAUCAGAGAAGAUUCUGUAUCAGGGCUGAUCAGAUGUGAGCAACCCAACAGGAAUAUUUAUGAGUUCACGGCCAAUAUGGAGUUCAAUGGGCAAAAGUUCUCCUUGAGCCAAUCAAACAUCGUUUUGCGUGGUUGUCAGCUGAAGAACACUGAAUCGAUCAUCGGUGUUGUGGUAUAUGCAGGACAGGAAACAAAAGCAAUGUUGAAUAGUGCAGCAUCUCCAUCCAAGAGAAGCAGAUUGGAAGGUUACAUGAACAGGGAAACCCUGUGGUUGUCCGUUUUUCUUUUAGUUAUGUGUAUGGUGGUGGCCUGUGGGAUGGGGCUAUGGCUUCUACGCCACAAAGAGGAGCUUAACACUUUGCCUUAUUACAGGAAAGUGUAUUUCACAUAUGGGAAGGAUAAAUUUAAAAAGUACAAAUAUUAUGGGAUUCCCAUGGAGACUUUUUUCUCCUUUUUGAGCUCUGUUAUAGUGUUUCAGAUAAUGAUACCAAUUUCUCUGUACAUUACAAUGGAACUGGUUCGUUUGGGACAGUCAUAUUUCAUGAUUGAAGACAGGCACAUGUAUGACAGCAGCACUGGUUCAAGGUUUCAGUGUAGAUCUUUGAAUAUAAAUGAGGAUUUGGGUCAAAUACGAUAUGUAUUUUCAGACAAAACUGGGACACUUACAGAAAACAAAAUGGAAUUUCGAAGAGCAAGUGUGUACGGGAACAAUUACGGGAGUUCCUUGCUUGUGACCGAUUCAUUUGAAGGACAGGGAACUGCAGCAGCAAAAGCUGUUGGUAGAAGGAGAUGGAAACUUAACUCGGAAAUUGCCGUUGAUUAUGAAUUAAUGGAGUUGUUGACCAAAGACUUAGCUGGUGAUGAACGAAUUGCUGCACAUGAGUUUUUCCUUACACUGGCCGCAUGUAAUACUGUGAUCCCAAUUCCUAGUUCUGGAAGAUCUUCCAGUUUCACCGGAAGCGAAUCACUUGAUAAUGAUAAUGUAGAAACUAUUAAUUAUCAGGGUGAAUCUCCAGAUGAGCAAGCGCUAGUUUCUGCAGCCUCAGCAUAUGGAUACACUCUCUUUGAGCGCACAUCUGGCCACAUUGGGAUUGAGAUCAAUGAUAAGAGAUUAAGGUUUGAUGUGUUGGGAUUGCAUGAAUUCGAUAGCGUUCGCAAAAGAAUGUCAGUCGUUGUCAGAUUUCCUGACAAUAGUGUGAAGGUGUUGGUGAAGGGUGCUGAUAAUUCAAUGUUCGGUAUAUUAGCUAAAGAUUCUGAGAGGAAUGACCUUGUAAGGCAUGCAACUGAGAGCCAUCUGACUGAAUAUUCAUCACAGGGCUUACGCACUCUUGUCGUUGCUGCAAGGGAUCUUACUGAUGCAGAACUUGAGCAGUGGCAGCGCAUGUAUGAAGAUGCAAGCACCUCUUUAGCCGAUAGAGCUCAAAAACUUCGCCAAACGGCAUUGCUUAUUGAAUCCAAUUUAAAUUUACUUGGGGCUACUGGAAUUGAGGACAAGCUACAGGAUGGUGUACCAGAAGCAAUUGAGGCCCUUCGGCAAGCGGGAAUUAAGGUCUGGGUUCUGACUGGAGAUAAACAAGAGACAGCAAUUUCAAUUGGUCUUUCUUGCAAACUUCUGUCCACAGAUAUGCAGCAAAUAAUUAUAAAUGGUAAUUCUGAGGAGGAAUGCAAAAAUCUUUUAGCUGCUGAAAAAGCUAAAUAUGGUGUGAAAUCAUCCAAUGGAAAAAAAAAUAGUUCGAAAUCAAAAGAGAAUACUGAAAACAACCAUCUUGAGAUUCCGAAUGAUACGAAGUCUUCCAAUGUGCCAGAAGGGUGUUCUGGGAAGGAUGAAGUGAAUGCAUCAUUGGCACUCAUAAUUGAUGGAAAUAGUUUGGUGUAUAUUCUGGAGAAGGAUUUGGAGACAGAUCUUUUUGACCUUGCGACUUCCUGUCAAGUUGUGCUAUGCUGUCGGGUUGCACCAUUGCAGAAAGCUGGAAUUGUUGAUCUAAUCAAGAGCCGAACUGAUGAUAUGACACUGGCCAUAGGUGAUGGGGCCAAUGAUGUUUCUAUGAUCCAAAUGGCGGAUGUUGGUGUUGGAAUAUGUGGUCAGGAAGGGCGUCAAGCAGUGAUGGCAUCAGACUUUGCAAUGGGGCAGUUUCGGUUUCUGAAAAGAUUACUCUUGGUGCAUGGACACUGGAAUUAUCAGCGUGUGGGCUAUUUAAUUCUAUACAACUUCUACCGUAAUGCUGUUUUUGUAUUGAUGCUAUUCUGGUACAUUUUGUGCACAGCUUUUUCGACUACUUCUGCAUUAACAGAUUGGAGUAGUGUAUUUUAUUCUGUUAUAUAUACAUCUGUGCCCACUAUUUUUGUCGGUAUUCUGGACAAAGACUUAAGUCAUAGGACAUUGUUACAGUAUCCAAAACUUUAUGGUGCGGGGCAUAGACAGGAGGCAUAUAAUAUGCAUCUCUUCUGGAUCACUAUGUGUGACACACUAUGGCAGAGUCUUGUUCUCUUCUAUAUUCCUUUGUACGUUUACAAGGAGAGCACAAUUGAUAUCUGGAGCAUGGGCAGUUUGUGGACAUUAGCCGUAGUCAUCCUUGUUAGUAUACACCUGGCUAUGGAUAUACAGCGUUGGAUAUUUGUUACUCAUGCGGCGGUAUGGGGAUCUAUAGUUAUUACAUACGCCUGCAUGGUGGUACUGGAUUCUGUCCCUAUUUUACCCAACUACUGGACAAUCUACAAUCUGGCUAAGUCACCAACCUAUUGGCUCACCAUUUUGCUUAUUAUAAUUGUUGCAUUGCUCCCUCGUUUUCUUUUCAAAGCUGUACAUCAACAUUUUUGGCCUUCAGAUAUCCAGAUAGCCAGAGAAGCUGAGGUACUAAGAAAACAAGCUAAUUAUUUGAGUUCAAAACCAAAUCAGGAUUCCAGUUAGCAUGUGCUUUACCUCUCUUGUUGAACCCAUCUUGAGAUGGCUUUCCAUGAGUUCAUGCUUGAUAUGGCUCUCCGACGGCAUCUAGUUGUAAAGUUCUGUGAUGAGUUCCAAAAAAGCUGAUUUUGCACCAGUAAUCGAAAGAAAUGGUUGGCAUUGAGACAACAGAGCAGAGAGUUAUCGAUUAUUGGAUUGUCAGGGCAAGUGAGACGAUUAAAGCCAAUGAGAGUGGUUCUGGUGUAUUGAAAUAGCCAGUUGGAUGAUUGAAAUCGGGAAGGUUGGAAGAUGCGAAGCCAGGAGUGGAGCUUUUCAACUUCGGUUGAUUCUUUUGAGUGUUGAGGAUUUGGCAGUGUGUAAGGAUUUGAUCACAAUAUUAGUAGCCUGAAAUGGCUAAGAUGGACAGAAAAUAUAAUUCCCUAGUAUAUAGUAGUUUGUGUAAAGUUCAUCAGGUUGACACUGAAAAAUAUUAGGAAAAAGAAAAAAAAAAUUGUUGACAGAAAUACAGGUCAUUUCAUUCAAUUUCAUUUGUCUUGACCAAAUCUUGCAACUUCACCUAUGGAGGCCGAUAACGAUCAUG